rnacentral:tRNA from 1 species
GUGGUGGUAGUGCAGUGGUUAAGAAGCUGGGCUAGCAUGCCAAUAAAGUUGUGGGUUCGAUUCCCGGCUGCCACC